rnacentral:rRNA from 1 species
UACGUAGGGGGCUAGCGUUGUCCAGAAUCAUUGGGCGUAAAGCGCGCGUAGGCUGCCAGAUAAGUCCGGUGUGAAAGUCAAAGGCUCAACCUUUGAAUGCCGCUGGAAACUGUCUGGCUAGAGUCCGGAAGGGGCGAGUGGAACUCCUGGUGUAGCGGUGAAAUGCGCAGAUAUCAGGAAGAACACCAAUGGCGAAGGCAGCUCGCUAGGACGGUACUGACGCUGAGGCGCGAAAGCGUGGGGAGCAAACAGG